GGCCAGACUCCUACGGGAGGCAGCAGUGGGGGAUAUUGCACAAUGGGGGAAACCCUGAUGCAGCGACGCCGCGUGGGUGAAGAAGUAUUUCGGUAUGUAAAGCUCUAUCAGCAGGGAAGAAGAUGACAGUACCUGAGUAAGAAGCCCCGGCUAACUACGUGCCAGCAGCCGCGGUAAUACGUAGGGGGCAAGCGUUAUCCGGAUUUACUGGGUGUAAAGGGAGCGCAGGCGGCACGGCAAGUCUGGUGUGAAAGCCCGGGGCCCAACCCCGGGACUGCAUUGGAAACUGCCGGGCUGGAGUGCCGGAGGGGCAGGCGGAAUUCCUGGUGUAGCGGUGAAAUGCGCAGAUAUCAGGAAGAACACCGGUGGCGCAGGCGGCUUGCUGGACGGCAACUGACGCUGAGGCUCGAAAGCGUGGGGAGCAAACAGGAUUAGAUACCCGAGUA
rnacentral:rRNA from 1 species